UCAAUGCUUGUUUUUCUCUUGUCAUUUCUUCUUCACCUCUUCGUAUUUAUAUCUCUUAGCCACACUCUGCAAACCCAAGAUACAAAAAAAUUAAAAAAAAACAUUGCAGUAGCUCAUGUUGUCUUCCUUUUCAUUUUCCAUAUCCGCAAAAUAAAAUUUUUAACGGUAAGUACCUGUCUCUUGUGCCCUGUGCAUCAAUUUGUUUCAAUCAUUUAUUUGCUUUUGAUUUCUUCUCUUUUGGUUUGGCUUUUUUGAGGUGGAGUUUGGUAUAUAAUCAGCAAUCCAUGAACGCACUACACUGGUUAUCAAAAUACGAGAUAUUGGUGCGGUUCAAUCAGAAAACUGUACUCUCUUUUCUUUUUUUCCAGAGAUCGGCUUGUUUGAUUGAGCCGUGCCAAUAUCACGUGUUUAAAGAAGACUUGAUGCUCUUAUUAAGUUCGGAUAAACAAGAAAAAGGAAAAGAGAAAAAAAGACAAGAAAAUAACAACGCAAAAACAUUUGCGAGAAGAUAUUGCUAUCAUCAACAGCCAGAGAAUACAUAAUGUUGUAUUUGUCUGAAGUUUUCAGUUCGUUUAUAUUCUUAUCCUACCAUGAAUAUAAUGGUGUUAAACCCGUGGAUUAGACAUAUAACUCGUUCCACUAUAGAACUAGUAAAGGCUAGCUAGCUAGAACUUUUUAUUUCUUUUUAAAUACUAACAAAAGCUAUAUUUGUCUGGUUAUUUGUUUUUAGUCAAUUUACAUCACUAUCAGAAAUAUUUGAUUUUGUUAUGUUAAAGAGAAUUAACUAACUAAUCUAGUGAAGAAUUAUCUA